rnacentral:rRNA from 1 species
AAUGCCAGUCUCCGAGAACAAUAUCCAGCUUUGUACAACAUUGCUCGUGAUAAGAACAGUACUAUUGCGCAGGUGCUUAGCUCAUCCCCGCCGAAUAUUUCGUUCAGGCAGGAUUUGGUUGGCGCCCGACUUAUGUCAUGGCAUAAUCGCUUAUCCCGUCUGGAUCUGAUUAACCUGACGCAAGGGCGUGAUGUGUUUCGCUGGAACCUUAUUACAUUGGGGUCUUUCACGGUAGACUCUAUGUAUCGUGCCCUCAUGCAUUCUGAGGUACAGGUGAGCAAUAACAAGAAAAUCUGGAAGGCAAAGAUUCCACUAAAAGUUAAAAUAUUCAUGUGA